AGCAGCCGCGGUAAUUCCAGCUCCAAUAGCGUAUAUUAAAGUUGCUGCAGUUAAAAAGCUCGUAGUUGAAUUUCGGGACCAUCAUGUCGGUCGUGCCUCGGUACGUACUGGCAUUGUUGGUUUCUACCUUCUGACGAACCAUGAUGUCAUUUAUUUGGUGUCGUGGGAAAUCAGGACUGUUACUUUGAAAAAAUUAGAGUGUUUAAAGCAGGCUCACGCUUGAAUACAUUAGCAUGGAAUAAUGAAAUAGGACGUUUGAUUCUAUUUUGUUGGUUUCUAGGAUCGACGUAAUGAUUAAUAGGGAUAGUUGGGGGCAUUAGUAUUCAAUUGUCAGAGGUGAAAUUCUUGGAUUUAUUGAAGACUAACUACUGCGAAAGCAUUUGCCAAGGAUGUUUUCAUUAAUCAAGAACGAAAGUUAGGGGAUCGAAGACGAUCAGAUACCGUCGUAGUCUUAACCAUAAACUAUGCCGACUAGG
rnacentral:sRNA from 1 species